AUGGUUAGUUUAGAGUUAGAGAUAGUGGGUUUCUUUCAAAUUCCAUACUGUGGCAAUAUUCUAAUCUCUCUUUCAAGCUCUACUCACUAUAUUUGUACCAAUCACACUACUGAACUUCCCAAGCCAGAAGAGGCAGUUGAGCAUGUUGAUACAAAUACAAAAACAAUUACUGCAUCACCAUUCACAUAUAGUAUGCAGCCUGAAGAAGUGGAGUCAACUUUCUUCAAUAUACCGAAGUAA